AUUGAACGCUGGCGGCAGGCCUAACACAUGCAAGUCGAGCGGAUGAAGGGAGCUUGCUCCUGGAUUCAGCGGCGGACGGGCGAGUAAUGCCUAGGAAUCUGCCUGGUAGUGGGGGAUAACGUCCGGAAACGGGCGCUAAUACCGCAUACGUCCAGAGGGAGAAAGUGGGGGAUCUUCGGACCUCACGCUAUCAGAUGAGCCUAGGUCGGAUUAGCUAGUUGGUGGGGUAAAGGCCUACCAAGGCGACGAUCCGUAACUGGUCUGAGAGGAUGAUCAGUCACACUGGAACUGAGACACGGUCCAGACUCCUACGGGAGGCAGCAGUGGGGAAUAUUGGACAAUGGGCGAAAGCCUGAUCCAGCCAUGCCGCGUGUGUGAAGAAGGUCUUCGGAUUGUAAAGCACUUUAAGUUGGGAGGAACGGCAGUAAGUUAAUACCUUGCUGUUUUGACGGUACCAACAGAAUAAGCACCGGCUAACUUCGUG
rnacentral:rRNA from 1 species